AAUGAACGCUGGCGGCAGGCUUAAUACAUGCAAGUCGAGCGAGCGGCGGACGGGUGAGUAAUGUAUGGGCAACUGCCUGAUGUAGGGGGCUAACUACUGGAAACGGUAGAUACUACUGCAUAACAUCAGAUGUGGCGUGAGGGGAUUAGCUAGUAGGUGGGGUAAUGGCUCACCUAGGCGACGAUCCCUAGCUGGUCUGAGAGGAUGACCGGCCACACUGGAACUGAGACACGGUCCAGACUCCUACGGGAGGCAGCAGUGGGGAAUAUGGCACAAUGGACGAAAGCCUGAUGGAGCAAUGCCGCGUGUGUGAAGAAGGCCUUCGGGUUGUAAAGCACUUUCAGUGAGGAAGCGUUACUCGCAGAAAAAGCACCGGCUAACUCCGUGCCAGCAGCCGCGGUAAUUC
rnacentral:rRNA from 1 species